GCCAAAGAAAAAUAAAAAAGACCAUUUUAAGAUGGAGAGAGAAAAAUCGUGGAUGAAGAAAGAAAUAGAAUAGACGCUGGAGGGACUUCGCCGGAGAGAUAGAGAUCUACGAUGAGUUUCUUAAUAAGGCCUCCGUCGCCGACGAUUCUCAGUCCGUCGUACAAGUUACUGAGCUCUGGGGGGGAAGCAUCCUGCCUGCUACUAGGCAGGGCGGAGGGAUAUCGGAAAGUGACAAUGAGAGGCGGAAGUGAAAACCGGAAGCCACUGCAGAAGGGAAGGAACCUCAGCAUCGAAGCAAUUCAAGCGGUGCAGUCGUUGAAGCGAACGAAGAAAGAUUUACAACAACUGGACCGAGUGUAUGAUUCCAAAAUUAGGCGCUUAUUAAAGUUCGAUAUGAUGGCUGUCCUUCGCGAGCUCCUUCGCCAGAACGAGUGUUCUUUGGCUCUUAAGGUUUUCGAAGAUGUUAGAAAUGAACACUGGUACAAGCCUCAGGUCUCGCUGUAUGCUGAUAUUAUUAGAGUAUUGGCUAGCAAUGGAUUGUUCGAACGAGUACAAAUCAUUCAUUCGUACUUGAAAGCAGAAACUGACUUAGCACCUGAAAUUGACGGGUUUAACGCUCUUUUGAAGGCCUUGGUUAGUCAUAAUUUAGGUGAACUUGCAAUGGAGUCGUAUUACUUGAUGAAAGAAAUAGGUUGUGAGCCAGAUAAGGCUUCUUUCAGGAUUGUCAUAAAAGGAUUGGAAUCAAAGGGAGAAGCAGUUGAUUUAAGAACUGUGAAGCAGGACGCACAAAAGCUUUACGGUGAAUCACUUGAGUUUUUAGAGGAGGAAGAAGAGGCAGCUAUUGCCAUAUCUACGCACUGAGCUGCAGAAUCAGGAUUCAAAUCAUGGAAUAGAAGGCAUAUACAUUAUACAGAUGGACUUGUGGCAAGAAAGAUGGAGUUCAUCUUUGUUUCUACUUGAAGAAACCUGAAAAGGCUCAGAAACUUUCCCUGGAUAUGAAUUUUAACUGUAUACUGGCUCAAGUCAACCCGUCCUUAGCAGAGAAUAUGUGUGAUAACUUUCGAGUUAUGUUUCAACUUGGAUAUAUUGACACUAGUUGGAUGAAUUGUAUCAAUUUACUCUCGUCCUCGAUCUUUUGCUUCGGUUUCUCAAGCUGCUGGGAUCCAGAAACUUCCCUGCCCUGCUUGGCAGUGUCACUAGUCUAUGCAGGGAAGACCUGAUCAUCUUGCUACAUACUUCAGCUCCUCCGUCGAGUCGUGAGCAUGAGACAGAAAUAUAAGGGGAAAAGGUGGACUAUAAUGCAAGGUGAAUGGUACAUGAUUUCCUUUUUCUCCCAAGAGUAUCAAAAUCUACGUAGAGUAGAUAACGAACAAACCGGAUUCGGGGAUUGCUGCAUAAUUUCUGUAAAAACAUAUAUGUUUCCAGGUGCAACGCUAUAGGAAGUAAGUGCUCUUCCACUGCUAGAGGUAACUUCAAAAGAGAGAGGUUGCCCAUGAAGAUUGACAUUGCUUUGCCAGUUUUGUCCCCAGUUCCUUGCCAAUGCAAAUGCUGCUUCUGACAUCUCGAAGUGUUCCUUGGGAAAAUUACACCAACCACCAUAUUCCGAAGACAAGCCGUAAUUGGGAGGACAGAAGUCAGUGGCCGUUAGAAUGACAGUCGGGCUUCCUUGCAAACACCACAAGAUGUGGUCAACACAUCUAAGCUCAUAGCAAGCUCCACAGUAGCAGAUUUCCACUCUUCUUCAUCCUUAGCCGCAAAUAUGUUGGUGGGUGUUUGCAGAAGAACUAAAUAGUAGACUAUUAUAGCUAAAAAGGCCGCCAUUUCAGAAGAAUACAAGGCCUUGAAGAAGCCUAUGCUCAAAUGAGCAUUCCCCUAAUUUAUCGUUGAAAUGAAAGCAAGCUCCUUUGAUUGCCGGAACACUAUUCUGGAAAAAAAAAUAGAAUAAACUUUGACAAAUCUCCAAUUUUGUAGCCCUUCGUUCACAUUGGUGGCGCGUUUAACGAGGCAAAGGACUGUUCUUUAUCUUCCGAUAAUGGGGCCUGAGGGCUUCAGAGAAGCAAAUUUGGAGCCUUCAUUUUUUGCCAUUAUUGAUGUGGGAGGGCUUGAAGCUUUAUGUCAAUGGCGGCAGAGACAGAGCGGAAAGCCAUCCAUAGAAGCAGGUAUGUGUUUCUUUUAUUUGAACUUUUAAGAUCCCUUGAAAAUGAAAUAAAAGAAUAAAAAGAAGCUGAAGCACUUAAUAAAUGAUUUUAAGAAGAACCCAGAACUCAGAAGUGGCCUAUUUUGGAUUUGAUUGUUGGACCCGAACGAGUUUUAAAAGAGGAUUUCUUUUAGUCUUAUGGCUCAUCUUUUCAUGACAAAAAAGAUAGUGGAUGUUCCUUAAAAAUAAAUAUAAAGAAAAAGAAAAUUAGUGGAUGGGUCCCAGAGUUGGAAGGGGUUGCCGGGUAAUGAAGAAGCCGUUCUCUUGGCGGGAAACGGUGCUGGGGGGUUUUAUGAUUAUUAUUAUUAGUUUAAACAUCAUUUUGGUCGAGAAUUUUGCAUAGAAACCCUUUCUCGAUCCUCUAAAUGAUUAAUGACUCAUCCCUCACAAACAUAAAAAAUCUUAUUUUAUGCUUAUGCCAUAGUAUAUUAACGCAUUUUAUAACAUUCGCAUUAGGGAUAAUUAUGUCUAUUGUAACCCUAAUGCGGUAACCAUGUUUAUGACAAUCUUUAUUUUUCUUCAUUCCACCCUAAUAUUUAUAGAGAAACAUGAUAAAAUAUGGAAAAAAAAAAUGAAGAUCACAAUAGAUAUGCUCAUCAUUUUAAAGUUAUGAUACACAUGAUCAUCCCUAACGCUAUUUUCAAACACUGCUAGUGCAUUCUAACAUAAGUAUAAGUUAGAUUUUAUAUGCAUGUUGGUGUGGGCUAUUAAUCAUAAAGGCGCCUAUAAAGAGUCAUAUGUAAAAAAAAAAAAAAAAAAAAAAA